rnacentral:rRNA from 1 species
GACGAACGCUGGCGGCGCGCUUAACACAUGCAAGUCGAACGGAAAGGCCUGCUUUCCCUUGUGGAUUGCGGGUACUCGAGUGGCGAACGGGUGAGUAACACGUGAGUGAUCUGCCCCCAACUUGGGUAUAAGCCUGGGAAACUGGGUCUAAUUCCCGAUAGGACGGCAGGGUGGUGCCUGUGGUGGAAAACGAUUUUCUAGUGGUUGGGGAUGAGCUCGCGGCCUAUCAGCUUGUUGGUGGGGUAAUGGCCUACCAAGGCGGCGACGGGUAGCCGGCCUGAGAGGGUGGACGGCCACAUUGGGACUGAGAUACGGCCCAGACUCCUACGGGAGGCAGCAGUGGGGAAUAUUGCACAAUGGGCGGAAGCCUGAUGCAGCGACGCCGCGUGGGGGAUGACGGCCUUCGGGUUGUAAACUCCUUUCGACCGCGAGGAAGCCACCUGGUUGGAAGGGUGGUGACGGUAGUGGUAGAAGAAGCACCGGCUAACUACGUG